CCAACGGCCCUCUUUAGGGCCACAGUUGUUUACGAGUACUUUCUUG
rfam:Necator americanus N_americanus-1.0_Cont1.314, whole genome shotgun sequence.